UCCUUCCCAAGUGCUGCAUCGCCCGAGUGCGAGUGAAUUUUUUUAAAUACCGCCAUCAUUGCAGGUCAUACACAGCUUUUUUUGUGCUACUGCCCAAGUGCUACCUCGCCCUGCGUUAGUGCAUUUUGUUCCUGCCCAAGUUCUGCAUCGCCCGAGUGAGAGUGAAUCUUUUUAAAUACCUCGAACAUUGCAGGUCAUACACAGCUUUUCUUGUGCUACUGCCCAAGUGCUACCCCGCCCUGCGUUAGUGCAUUUUGAUCCUGCCCAAGUUCUGCAUCGCCCGAGUGAGAGUGAAUCUUUUUAAAUACCUCCAACAUUGCAGGUCAUACACAGCUUUUCUUGUGCUACUGCCCAAGGCUACCUCGCCCUGCAUUUGUGUGUUUUAUUGUUCCUGUCCAAGUGCUUAGCUGUUUUGCUUAUUUCAUACGCUCAUCCUACAGAAAACUAUUAAAAUUUGUUUGCCUGAGAGGGGGUCUUCGUAUUCUGGCCCGUAUGCGCUGAGAAUCUGGAUUUAUAUCAAUAACUACUUAA